CAGAAAAUAGUUUAAUGAAAGAAUAUUGGCUUUGGGAGCCAAUGGUGGGAGUUUGAAUCUCCUUUUUCUGA
rnacentral:tRNA from 1 species